AGUGGGGUCAAAAGAAUGCAUUUUCUUUUUUUCCUUUUUCUUUUCUUUGCAUAGUUCCUCUGCUUGACAAAUUCCUGCAAAAUUCCAUCACACCUUUGCGUGGACCUAUUUGGGUCUCUAAGAGAGAAGGUUUCAGCCCCUCAGGAGCAAAGAUGUAUAUCCAAGGAGUUCUGUUGGCCUUGCAUCAGCGAUUAAAGCCUGCAAACUGUUGCAAACAGGCUCACCCUGAGUUUGUCGUGACCUACCUAGAGGAACUAUAUGGGAAAGAGGAGGUGACCCAGACAGAAAACUGCAUUCACCAUGGGGCCUGGUCUGCAGCUCAUCCUGAGAUAGACAGCAGCUCAGCAGACAAGGUCACAGUAUCAAGCCAGAGGCAGAUCCCCUAGGGGAGACUACACAGCUGACAGUGGCACUGGUGAGGAAACUAGAAGAGAAACAUCCUAAGGCCUCAGCUCAAAGGUAAGCCACUGACAGAACUGAUAUUUAUUGUUCAAUGACAUUAGAUGUUU
rnacentral:lncRNA from 1 species